ensembl:lncRNA
UGUUUACAGGUGUGACGUGUCCAGGUGUUAUUUACAGGUGUGACGUGUCCAGGUGUUAUUUACAGGUGUGACGUGUCCAGGUGUUAUUUACAGGUGUGAUGUGUCCAGGUGUUGUUUACAGGUGUGACGUGUCCAGGUGUUAUUUACAGGUGUGAUGUGUCCAGGUGUUAUUUACAGGUGUGAUGUGUCCAGGUGUUUACAGGUGUGAUGUGUCCAGGUGUUGUUUACAGGUGUGAUGUUUCCAGGUGUGAUGUGUCCAGGUGUUAUUUACAGGUGUGACGUGUCCAGGUGUUAUUUACAGGUGUGACGUGUCCAGGUGUUGUUUACAGGUGUGAUGUGUCCAGGUGUUUACAGGUGUGACGUGUCCAGGUGUUAUUUACAGGUGUGACGUGUCCAGGUGUUAUUUACAGGUGUGACGUGUCCAGGUGUUUACAGGUGUGAUCUGUCCAGGUGUUAUUUACAGGUGUGACGUGUCCAGGUGUUGUUUACAGGUGUGAUGUGUCCAGGUGUUUACAGGUGUGACGUGUCCAGGUGUUAUUUACAGGUGUGAUGUGUCCAGGUGUUAUUUACAGGUGUGAUGUG